rnacentral:rRNA from 1 species
GAUGAACGCUGGCGGCGUGCCUAAUACAUGCCAGUCGAGCGAACGGACGAGAAGCUUGCUUCUCUGAUGUUAGCGGCGGACGGGUGAGUAACACGUGGAUAACCUACCUAUAAGACUGGGAUAACUUCGGGAAACCGGAGCUAAUACCGGAUAAUAUUUUGAACCGCAUGGUUCAAAAGUGAAAGACGGUCUUGCUGACACUUAUAGAUGGAUCCGCGCUGCAUUAGCUAGUUGGUAAGGUAACGGCUUACCAAGGCAACGAUGCAUAGCCGACCUGAGAGGGUGAUCGGCCACACUGGAACUGAGACACGGUCCAGACUCCUACGGGAGGCAGCAGUAGGGAAUCUUCCGCAAUGGGCGAAAGCCUGACGGAGCAACGCCGCGUGAGUGAUGAAGGUCUUCGGAUCGUAAAACUCUGUUAUUAGGGAAGAACAUAUGUGUAAGUAACUGUGCACAUCUUGACGGUACCUAAUCAGAAAGCCACGGCUAACUACGUG